rnacentral:misc_RNA from 1 species
GUUAUUUGCAAAACAUGCAUUUGACAAGAGAAACUCUAGAGCACGCCCACAGUUGGAUGUAAUUGGGAAAAAAAUAGCCAAGAAGUGCAAUGGCCUGCCUCUAGCUGCAAAAACUCUUGGGUGUCUGUUGCAUUCUAAAUCAGAUGUAGAGGAAUGGGAUAUGAUAUUUAAGAGCAAUAUAUGGGAUUUAUCCUAUGAAGAGACAAACAUUCUUCCUGCACUAAGAUUAAGCUAUUAUUAUCUACCCUCGCACUUAAAGCGUUGCUUUGCCUAUUGCUCGAUAUUUCCUAAGAAUUAUGAGUUCAGAGAGCAGAAGUUAAUACGGCUAUGGAUGGCAGAAGAUCUUCUGCAGAGACCAAAUCCAAAAAAGAGAAUGGAAAAAGUGGGAGAGGAAUACUUCCGGGAUCUCCUGUCAAGGUCAUUCUUCCAACAAUCAAGCUACAAAAGGUCACACUUUGUUAUGCAUGAACUAAUAAAUGAUUUAGCCAAAUUUGUAUCUGGAGAAUUCUGUUGUAGAAUGGGGAAUGAGAAUUCAUAUGACAGUAUGAGAAAGACUCGUUACAUAUCAUAUUCCAGAACGCGAUAUGAUGCCUCUAUGAGAUUCCAGCCAAUAUAUGAAGCUAAGCGUUUACGUACCUUCUUGCCAUUGCAGCUGGCAUCAGAAUGUGGGCACUUUCUAAGUAAUAAGGUACUACAUGAUCUGAUACCAACACUGAGAUGCUUACGUGCAAUCUCUUUUUCACACUACAAAAAUUUUACUGAGUUGCCCAAUUCAAUUGGGAAUUUGAAACAUCUACGCUAUCUGAAUCUCAGUUUCACUUCAAUCAAAAGACUGCCUGCCUCUUUAUGUAAUUUGCUUAAUUUACAAGCACUGAUCUUAACUGGUUGUUCUUCUCUUGAUGAGUUGCCAACUGACAUGGGAAGGCUAAUCAAUUUGCGUCUGCUCUAUGUUGGAGAAACAAACUUGAGAGAGCUACCAUCACAAAUAAGUAAGCUAAAAAAUCUCCAAGAAUUGAGUACUUUUAUUGUGAGCAGACAUGAUGGCCUUGGCAUCAGAGAUUUGAAGGAAUUUAAGCAUCUUCAGGGCAAGCUUUACAUCUUAGAGCUGCAAAAUGUUGUUAAUAUUCAGGAUGCUUUGGAAGCCAAUUUGAAGGACAGGAAGUACCUUAAAGAGUUAUCCUUGAAAUGGAGUGCUAACUUUGAUGAUUCAGAAAACGAAAGACGUGUGCUUGAAAAUCUCCAGCCUUGCACAAAUUUGGAAAGGCUCUCAAUUAAGCUUUAUGGUGGGACAAGAUUUCCAGAUUGGUUGGGAAGUCCUUCAUUCUCCAACAUGGUAUCAGUGAAUCUUAGCUUUUGCAAGUAUUGCUUCUUCUUGCCACCCCUUGGGCAACUGCCAUCUCUUGAAGAACUCUGUAUCACAGGAUGUGAAGGAAUCGAGAGGGUAGGUCCUGAGUUCUAUGGAAGGACUUCUCAAAGUAGGACAUUUAGAUCCCUGACAGUCCUCAAAUUUGAGAAUAUGUUGGAAUGGCAGGAAUGGAUUUCUCUGAACAGUGAAAAUGAAGGUGGAGCUUUCCCUCGUCUACAGCAGCUGUAUUUACAAGACUGUCCCAAGUUAACUGGUACAUUGCCCAGCUACCUCCCUUCUUUAAGGAAACUUGUGUUGAAUAACUGCAAGCAGCUUAGCACUUCAACUCUAGGGGCCCUUUCAUUUCGCAAAUUGGAGACAGGAAAUUGUGAUAAGUUGAUGUAUCAGGAACUUCCAUCAACACUGCAGAAGCUUAUUAUUAAAGGGCCCAUAAAUUACUCUCUACUUAGCUCCUUUCCACUGGACCUCCUCCCUGAGCUUCAAAUUCUCAGUGUCCAGAACUGUGUUCAACUUG